GUGGCUUAGUGGCAGAGCAUCUGCCCAGCACGUGGAGGGUUGUUGGUUCAAACCCCAGCAUCCCA
rnacentral:tRNA from 1 species